rnacentral:lncRNA from 1 species
CCCUAAUCUAUGGAUUUCACAUGACUGGGAUUACAGAUAUGCAUCUGUUGGACACAGACGCCUUCUAAAAAAGGUAGGGGUGUGGAUCAGAAAACCAGUCCGUAUCUGGUGUGAGCACCAUUUGCCUCAUGCAGCCCGCCACAUCUUCACAGAGAGUUGAUCAGGCUGUUGAUCCACUCCUCUCCCAUAGGGCGGCCCACAAUUGGCCCAGUGUCGUCCGGGUUAUGGGUUGGCCGGCGUAGGCCGUCAUUGUAAAUAAGAAUUUGUUCUUAGCUGACUUGCCUAGAUAAAUAAACAAUUCAAUGGCUGUGUGAAUUUGCUGGAUAGCCCUGCUGGAAAAUCCAGCUUAGAACCGUAGCGGUGCGUGGUACAAUCACUGGCAUAACUCCCCCUCCCCUCAUGCCGUGCGACCGUGAGAUAUAGGCCUAAAGGCCAGGACAAUAAGAAGACACAGCGACAGAAUGAAUUCAACUAUACAUUUGUUUUAUUUUAUUUAAGUAGGCAAGUUAGUUCAGAACAAAAUCUUAUUUUACAAUGGCGGCUUACCCCCCCGGCCAAACCCUCCCGUAACCUAGAUGACGCUGGGCCAAUUGUGCGCCGCCGUAUGGGACUCCAGAUCACGGCCAGUUGUGAUACAGCCCGGGAUCGAACCAGGGUCUGUAGUGAUGCCUCUAGCACUGAGAUGCAGUGCCUUAGACUGCUGUGCCACUUGGAUAGCAACCUCUGUCCAGUGAAGUCCACAAAGCAUAUUGCAUGUACAGCAACAGAAAAUUACAUGACCUACAGCAUGGUCAAGCAAGUUAAUGUUUACGACAUUUUCGGACUACUAAACAACUAUUGAUUUAGAACCAUAGAGAGUUACCGCAAGUCACAAAGAAAACAGGAGCUUCCUCCACUAUUCCAGCACCAUUUCAACUUCAACAUUUCAUCCUCAUCAAAAUCACCUCGGCUUAGUCUAAUACAGUAACAACUAAAAUAUACCAAAAACAAUUUAGUCCAAUCAACAUCAGCUAAAUAUGAUGUGGGUGUCCAUGUUUCUGAUUUAUGUGUGUGUGUGUGUGCGUUCGCGCAAGUAGAAAAACAUGUUGACUCAUGAAACAGUCUAUCACUCUGUCAUACAGUACACACUUUUAUUAUUUGUUGUCCUAGGCUACCUGGUUAAAAUUAUUGCUGGCUAGCCUAACUUCCAAUCAUGGGCAAUGUUAGCUAGUUAACAUUAGCCUCCUACAUCUAAUUUCCAUCCUCUCGAGCCAGGGGCACAACAAUGUAUGAAUUAAUUGUUGGAUCAGAAUCGCCGUUAUAAUCAUUGGCCAGUAUGGAUCCCUAUCUCCAUCCAUCGUUCAUUUAGGAAAGGGCCAAUUUUAGUUAGCUGGCUAGCUAGCCAUCGGAGGACAACAACACAACAAGAUGCAACAAUUUAAGUUUUUCUGUCAAUGAUGUAUGCGCUCAAUGGGAUUUGAUCGGAACGACGCCAAAUCCAAGCUGGCUUCCCUUGACAAUUUUUUGGGGUGUGCCAGGACCAUUCACAUUUGAGCUUGCUUAGUUUAGCUCAACAAUGAUUGGCACAUUUUUUAUACUUUUUUUUAAUCAAGGGAGGCCAGAUGCUCGCUGGCUUCCCUUGCCUUCAACGCUACAGCCGGCAACAAUGUCAUACUGGUUUGGACCAGACAGCACCAGAUAGAUGGCCUACACGUAGAGACAGAGGGGCGCUGUUUCACUCGCUCAGAUCCUAUGAGAUACAUCAAAUCAAAUUGUAUUUGUCACAUGCGCCGAAUACAACAGGUGUAGGCCUUAAAGUGAAAUGCUUACUUACAAGCCCUUAACCAACAAUGCAGUUCAAGAAAGAGUUAAGAAAAUAUUUACUAAAUAAACUAAAGUAAAAAAUUAAAUCAAAAGUAACACAACAAAAUAUCAAUAACCAGGCUAUAUACAGGUUAAUGUAUACAUUAAGUCUCUUGCGAAUUAAAGGAAAAGUAUCUAUUCUAGGUAUUCUAUUGUUUACAAAAAUUAUUACAACGUCUGAUUGUUGUGGCUACUAAUCUUAGAUGUCAAAUUAGCCACUUGAUGCUUGAAUGAAUGUUGACUGCAUUGUACACACUUGGCAAACAGUCUUGGAGAGGAGGGCAGGGUUACCUGGUGUAUACUACAGGUGAGUCUUGGAGAGGAGGGCAGGGUUACCUGGUGUAUACUACAGGUGAGUCUUGGAGAGGUGGGGUAGGAUUACCUGGUAUAUACUACAGGUGAGUCUUGGAGAGGAGGGUAGGAUUACCUGGAAUAUACUACAAGUGAGUCUUGGAGAGGAGGGCAGGGUUACUUGGUAUAUACUACAAGUGAGUCUUGGAGAGGAGGGCAGGGUUACUUGGUAUAUACUACAAGUGAGUCUUGGAGAGGAGGGCAGGGUUACCUGGUAUAUACUACAGGUGAGUCUUGGAGAGGAGGGCAGGGUUACCUGGUAUAUACUACAGGUGAGUCUUGGAGAGGAGGGCAGGGUUACCUGGUAUAUACUACAGGUGUGUCUUGGAGAGGAGUGUAGGAUUACCUGGUAUAUACUACAGGUGAGUCUUGGAGAGGUGGGGUAGGAUUACCUGGUGUAUACUACAGGUGAGUCUUGGAGGAGGGGUAGGAUUACCUGGUAUAUACUACAGGUGAGUCUUGGAGGAGGUGUAGGAUUACUUGGUAUAUACUAUAGGUGAGUCUUGGAGAGGAGGGGUAGGAUUACAUGGCAUACAGUACAGGUGAGUCUUGGAGAGGAGGGGUAGGAUUACCUGGUAUACAGUACAGGUGAGUCUUGGAGAGGAGGGGUAGGAUUACCUGGUAUACAGUACAGGUGAGUCUUGGAGAGGAGGGGUAGGAUUACCUGGUAUAUACUACAGGUG